rnacentral:rRNA from 1 species
UGAGGAAUAUUGGUCAAUGGACGAGAGUCUGAACCAGCCAAGUAGCGUGAAGGAUGACUGCCCUAUGGGUUGUAAACUUCUUUUAUAUGGGAAUAAAACAGGGUAUGCAUACCCUCUUGUAUGUACCAUAUGAAUAAGGAUCGGCUAACUCCGUGCCAGCAGCCGCGGUAAUACGGAGGAUCCGAGCGUUAUCCGGAUUUAUUGGGUUUAAAGGGAGCGUAGGUGGAUUGUUAAGUCAGUUGUGAAAGUUUGCGGCUCAACCGUAAAAUUGCAGUUGAAACUGGCAGUCUUGAGUACAGUAGAGGUGGGCGGAAUUCGUGGUGUAGCGGUGAAAUGCUUAGAUAUCACGAAGAACUCCGAUUGCGAAGGCAGCUCACUGGACUGCAACUGACACUGAUGCUCGAAAGUGUGGGUAUCAAACAGG